rnacentral:rRNA from 1 species
AAAUUGAAGAGUUUGAUCAUGGCUCAGAUUGAACGCUGGCGGCAGGCCUAACACAUGCAAGUCGAACGGUAACAGGAAGCAGCUUGCUGCUUUGCUGACGAGUGGCGGACGGGUGAGUAAUGUCUGGGAAACUGCCCGAUGGAGGGGGAUAACUACU